CAAAAGGCUCAGCAUCUGAGAGAAAGAAUGAAUGAAUGGUACUGCAUCAAAAUAAAGAGCUUUUGCACAGCAAAAGAAAGUUACUAGACUCAAGAGACAGUGCACAGGAUGGGAGAAGAUUUUUGCCAGCUACUAGUCCCAUUAGCAACUAAAUUCCAGAAUCUACAGGGCACUCAAUAAAUUCAACCCCCAAUGAAUCAACACCCCAAUGAAGACAUGAGCUCAUGAAUUAAAUAAGGAACUCUUAAAGGAAGAGAUACAAAUGGCCAAUACAUGAAGUGUUCAAUUUCUCUGGUUAUAAAAGAGAUGUAAAUCAACACAACACUUAGAUUUCAUCUUACCCCACUUAAAAUGGCCACAGUCAAGGGCAAUAUCAACAACAAAUGCUGGUGAUGAUGAGUCAGAACAGGAACUCUUAUGUAGUAUAGGUGGGAAUGCAAAUUAGUACAACCAUUGUGGCAAGCCUCAUGGAGAUUCCUCAGAAAGCUAAAGCUAGAACUGCCGUAUGAUCCAAUGACACCACUGCUGGACAUCUACCCAAUGGAAGGAUGUUUGUUUUUAGGUCCACAGAAUGCUAAAAAUAUGGGACAUACAGGCUUUCUUGGAGAUGUCAAAGGAAAGCUUGGGAGGUCAAGCAGUAUACAGAAGGGCUAUAACCUCUGCAAGCAGCUGUUGAGAGGUCAACUUGUGAAGCUGUGAGCGUGAACCCAAGCUUUCAUGGAGACUACUGGAGGUCAGUUGCCAGGAUGGUAGAUGAUAUACAGAGGGAAGGACAGCUGCAGUGAGCACAGCCAGCCCAAGAGCAGUCAUGUUGGUUGCACCUGUCAAGGGACAGUCUCACAACUCAUGUGAGCAUGUCCUAGAAACCUAACUGGGGGUGACAGGAGGUUAAGAAAGGACAAAAGACAGAAGACAAAACAUGCACAAAGCUGGGGCCAGGUGGACUAGGUGCUCAGAUGGAGACACAACAGCCUCAUCCACCUCCAGUGAGUUUAUUAUAUACAUGGCAAAACAGGAGGUGAGGCAGCAGUUUUGGGGUGGGGAAGUGUGGGACAUUAUAGUUCUUGGGAACAGGAGAAACCUGUGACCGCUUCCCUCUGAAUGUAAACAUCUUAGGAAAAACAGCUGUGCUGCAUUUUGCCCUCACCCUCCUCUGCGGGCCAUGCCAAACUCAGCCUGCAGGUUAUUUGACAAAGCUGUGCUUUUACAUCAAGUUGUCAUAGGCCUCUCAUACUCUGCUUUCCACAUCUCCACCUUUUUUAUUACUUAAAAUAUUCCUGAUGAAGCCCAUCCCCCAUUCCAAGCAGUUGUCUUUGUACAUGUGGCAUCUGACUGAAGGAACAAGAAAGCAGGCGAACAAUAACAUAUAUUCCUGCCAAACACCAGAAGGAGUGCUCUAGCAUGUUUAAUGGAUUAAAAUCCUUGAAUUCACCAAGGAUAGUAUUUGCAUAUUAGCUGGAGAAACAUUAUCAUAAGCCUUUUGCAUGGCCAAUAUUUGUUGCCUUAAUUGCCUUAUGUCUACAGUAUUGUUUGCUUUGUUCCCAUGCACCCAUAAGAUGAGCUUUACCUGUAAAGUUAUAGUCACUAUAUUGAGACACCAAAUGUCCUGAGGAAUGACCUCCCAUGUGCACUAUAUCAGUAAAAAUAGAUACAGAGUUGCUCUAAAGUGAUAGGAUGCACCAUUGGCAGGUGGAGAAUGAAAGUCCAGUAUGCAUUGCCCUGGACUACACCCACCUGUAUUGUAAUUAUGACCAAUGCCACCAGUGAUAUUGCUGUGGGAUUCCCAGCCAUCCCCAGGUUACUGGUUACUGUUGUCAUCGUCAUGUCCUUUAGUUUCUUCAUUUGACCCCAGGUGGGUGGCUCACUGUUCCGCGUCUAUCUUGCUGAUGGUCAUUUCCUUGGCUGCCCUCUGGUUGGCAGAGGAGUCAGCCUCAGUGGUUCCCUUUCCUGGGGAGAGUCUUCCAGUCACAGCCUCCUCAUCUUUGGGGCCAGGGGGUCCAGAGGCUUCACAAAUCACGAUGGUACCCACACUGGGUGUUCUGCAUCUUCUGGAGAAAACACAAGCAUGCCCUUGUCCCCACAUCAGAACAGGACUAGUACUGUGCCAUUUGCCAGUCAACACAUUUUCCCAAAGAACCUGAGGCCUGCCAGUCAGCUCCUGUGGUUGCCAAUGCCUUUCAGUGGGUGUUAAACCCUGUUCUGGGCAGUUCAAAAAAAUUAAGGGCAUAAAAAGCUUUAUGCAAUUGGCUAGCUAGGGGAAUUACCUCAUCUCCCCAUUUUAACUUUUUAAAUAGCAUUUUGAGGGUGGCAUGUGUACAUUCCACUAUGGACUGCCCUUGAGGAUUACAAGGAACUUUGGUGGUGUGAUGUAUCUGAUAGGCCUCACAGAACUGCUGAAAAGCAGUUGAAUUGUAUUCAGGGCCAUUGUUGAUCUUGAGCUGUUGAGGCUUACCCAUGGCAGCAAAGACAGCCAAACAAUGAGUGAUGACAUGUUUAGUGGCCUCACCAGCAUGCACGAAGGCAUAGAUAUAACCUGAAUAAAUGUCCACUGACACAUGAACAUAGUACUGCCAGUCAAAGGAGGAAACGUGAAUGACACCCAUCUGCCACAAGAUUACAGGCCAAAGGCCCCGUGGGUUAACCCCUUUAUAUGCUUGUGGUAAACAUGUGACACACUGCUGACUUGAUGUAAUGAUUUGUUGAGCCUGUUCCUUGGUAAGGUGAAAUUGCCUACACAGGGCUGAAGCAUUUUGUUGGUACAAAGGAUGACUGAGUUGGGCAGCUUCUAUGGGUGCAAAAAUUUGCAUGGGCAAGCCCAAAGCAAGCCCAGAGACUAGGUUAUCUGCCCAGGCAUUACCAUCAGCAAGUGACCCAGGGAGAUUAGAAUGUGAGCACAAAUGGCUCACAUUUUGUACCAGAAUAUGCAACUGAAAGAAAAGAUUAAAUAACACUUCAUUACUAGUAUGGCCAACAUAAGCAGUUUCAAUGUGGUGUAAAACACCUACCACAUAGUGACUAUUACUGUGUAGAUUGAUAGGUUGUUGUGGAAAGUCCCUGAGGUCCAUGAACAUCAUCAAGGUCUGCCCUUUGAGCAGAGGCCAAAACAGUAUGUUUAAACUUAGGGCAAUCUUUGGUGUAGUAAGAGCAGUACCACGUCCAGAAGCACAGUGAAGAUUGUGACAGCCUCGGUGAGGGGAGGAUAGUAUAAUUUUUGGAAAGACAAACGUGAAGGGAAGCAAAAUGUAAGUUUUGAAUGUGGGAGAUGUUCCCCCACCUGUCCUGGAAAAUUAGCCAGUGCAGACUCAUAAGUCUGAGAAUUGCCAUAUCCAAUGCUGUUGAUCUUUUGAAAAUGUGAAAACAAUAUUACUGGGCUCAUGCCCCAGCAAUUCACAAAAUGAGUGUGUCCCAGAACAAUCAGCCUAGCUACAGCUCAUGAUACAGUGUAAGCACCUUAGUAGGAGAGUGACUUAAGUGUAACCAUUCCAACACCCCCUGCAAUUGCCAGAGAGUAAUUGAACAGGCUGCUGUGGAUCCUAGUGCUGAAGCUUGGCUUUGUAAUUGCUCUCUCUACCUUAACCAAUGCCUGUUGGGCGUCCUCUAUAAGUUCUUGAAGUGAGGAAGGAUUAGGUUGAGCAGUUGAAAAAGAGGAGAUAAGAUGUCAGUGGUAAGUUUUAGAGAGCAUCUGAGCCAAUUGCUAUAUCCUAGCAAUUUUUGUAAAUCAUUUAAAGUUUUAAAAUUAUGCUUCCUGAUCUCUAUGUUUUGAGGAUGGUUAAAUGUCCAUUGAUAACUUGCCCUAAAUAUUGAAAAGCAGGCAUUUUUUGUACCUGUCUGGGACAAUGCACAAUCACUAGGCCUCAACAUCUUUGUAAGAUCUGUCAAGAUUAGUAGAAGUGUAGACUCACUGGGAUGACUUAUCAGAAUUACAUCCAUGUAAUGAAGCUUCUGGAUACUUAUGGCAUGUAGGUUCUAUUGGUACAGCAACAAAUUCCUGACCCAUAUUGGGACUGUUAACCAUGCCUUGGGGCAGCACUGUCCAAUGAAAUCAACAUCCAGGGCCUGAUGAUUUGAUGAUGAUAAAAUGAAAGCAAUUUUUUCUCUGUCUUUUGAAUGGAGAGGAAUGGUUAAAAAAAAAAGGAAAGAAAGAAAAGAAAAGAAAACAUCUUUAUGAUCAAGAAUGCAAAGAUAAUACUCUAAUGGAAUAGUUGUGGGUGAAGGAAGGCCAGGCUGGAGUGCUCCCUCUGUUGACAGCCCCUAAAUCUUGUAAGAACUUCCAUCUUCCCAACUUUUUUCUAAUCACAAAAAUUGGAUUAGAAAGGGCUAUAGGUAGGCUCAAUAUGCCCUGCUUUUAAUUGUUCCUUCACCAGAACUGUGGCUGUAGGCAAUUUUUCCCCUGUCAAAGGCCACUGGUCCACCCAGACUGGAUCUGUUGAGAGCCCAGUGAUCUAAGUGUUUAAUUUGUUGGACCUGGAGGGCCCCUACUGAAAAUGCUGCGUGGCCUGGUAUCCUAGCCCCAUCCUUCCUAGAUUCCCUAAAGGCUGUACAGUAUGUAACCUACCUUGUUUAUAUUUUCCCAAUCCCCUAAUGGGAUUAUAGCCUUGUUGAAACAUUUAGUGAGAGACCGCGCUAAUAAGACUGCAGACUAUAGUUCCCAUACUCUCUAAUGCAUUUCUUCCCCACAGAUUGAUCAGAAGAUUGUCUAAGACAAAGGAGUAGAAAGCCCUGAGUAUCCCUCUUCAUUCCUCCAUCAGAGCUGUUGAGCACUCUGGAGUGGGCCAUGAGCAGCCCCUACCCCCUGCAGAUCAGCAACAGAGGGUUGGCAAGACCAACUUUCUGGCCAAUGUCUAGCAGCAAUUACAGAGAUAUCAGCACCAGUAUCCAAAAAUCCCCCAAAUCAUCUGUCAUUUAAGUACAAAGUCACUUCCAGAUUAUCUUCUGUUACUUGAGGUACCCAGUCUGGAUGAUCAGAGGAGCCGAAUCCUCUAUCUCUCCACAGGGUAUGAGCUAACACCUUGCCUUUCUUCACAUUUGGGAGAAUAAGCAGCUGAGCUAUUUUAUUCUCUCGGAAUACUGGUACAAAGGCAUCUGGUGCCUGGGCCAUUAUCUUAAUUUCCGCAGUACAGUCUUCAUCAAUCACACCUGGAUAAUAAACCUGUAAUCCCCUUAUGGUUGCACUACUUUUCCCUAAUAUUAAACCCACUGUGCCCUGGGGCAGAGGGCCAUAGACCCCCGUAGGGAUAACUUGCACUCCCAAAUCAGGCAUUAUCACAUAUCAGGAGGUGGAACUGAGGUCCAAUCCUGCGCUUCCUGGGGUGGUGCAAACGAGGUUUUCAAUGGUGGGUAUUGGGUGGGAACAUUCAUAGUAAUCGCCUCCACUGUUUUACAGGGCUGGGGCAGGCCCUGUGUGAAUUUUCCCUGUCUAUAAGAGGUUACCUAUCUAUAUCUGUUUUGGAGUGACAUUCUUUUGCCCAGUGUUUUCCCCUCCCACACCAAGGACAUAUCCCGGUUGUUCGAGCCCUUGGCCCAUUGGCACCAGUUGGUGGCCUGGCAAUGUGUCCCAAGGUACCUAGCUGUAGUCAGGGCUUAUUCCCACACUCCCUAGCAAAAUGUCCCUCUUUUCCACAGAAAAAACAUGCUCCUUUUUUUCUUCCCCCAGGGUGCAACAUUUCCUUUAAGGCAGAAGGUAAAGUAUGCACUGGAUGUGACUUGGCCCGACAUCUGCACAAAUUCUAAUCAUUUCCUAUAGAGUAGCUGUUUUUCUGUAUGGCUGAAGGGCUGUCUUACAGGCCUUGUUAGCCUUUUUGGAAGCCAGUUGUAUUACCAGUAUGUUUCCAGCUUUGGCAUCCUCCACUAUCCUGCCUACGUUUUGCAGCAGGCAUGCCACAAACUCUCCAUAUGGCUCAUUGGGACCUUGGAGAAUGGUAGUUAAUUCCAAAGUCUUUUCUCCUUUCCUUGGUAGUUCUCGCCAUGCCCUUGUGCCUGCAAUGGCAAUCUGCUGAUAAGCUUGAGGGGUUACUGUAUUUGAUUAUCUACACCUCAAAAGGUCAUCUUCCCAUGAGCAUAUCUGCAGUGAUAUGACUUCCAUGGGCCAAAUUAUGGUUUGCCUGCUCCUUACAUAACUAUAAAAUCUGUUUUCCACAGCAAGGAAUCACCUGGAGAGAGGUAUGUUUUAACCAGCCCUGUCCAGUCAUCUGGAGGCAUAGCAGUAUCUCCUAUCAAAUUUUGUAAUAGCCCCAGUGUCAAUGUAGCUGUAGAGCCGUAUAUUGUACAGGCUUGUUUCAACUCCUUUAAAGUUUUAAAUGGGAUCUUUUGAUGAAAUCUCUGUUGCAUGCCAGGGUUUUUAGGGUCUAGUCUCUGAAGCACAGGGUAAAACCUAAAUCCAGCUGCAUCUUCUCCUUGACUAUGAGCUGCCUGCAAGGCAGCCUGCAGGGGACUUUUAGCUAGAGUGGAAGUCUCCUGGCCCAUGGAGGUAACCCCAUAUUCAUGGUUCCCAGUACUUUAUGGGCCAGAGUGUCCUAAUGACCCUCCUCAUAUGACACUGAAUCAGAAUCAGAAUCUGUUUGGACUGAAUUUUAAUUUUAUGUGAAAACUUGACCUCAUAAGGUGGGACUGAUGGUUCAGCAGCUCCGCUGCCUGCAGUAUUUUGUUUCCUCAAGGGAUACUGCCUCUUACAUUCCUGGAUGAUUGGUUAUAAGGGGUGAAUCCGACAUUCCAGCUUGAAUACUGAGUAGGAAAAUCUUUGUUUAUGUGAGGGAGUAGGCCCCAAACAAUCUCUAAUCAUAGACCACAAAUGAAAAGUUAAAAUGGGCAUAGCUUCCCGCCCCUCAGCCGUAUGCCACGCCCUCAGCCUGUCUUCUACCUUGUUCCAUGUUUCUAAAUUUAAAGUGCCCUCCUCAGGGAGCCAUGGUUAAGUUUCUUGUAUGAAAUCUAAAAAGUGCAUAAGCUGAAGCAACCUGACUCUGCUUCCUCUAAUCUUUAGCAUAGGUUUUAAAGCAUGUAUAUAGAGCUCCUGUUCCUUAGACUUACACUAUCCCAUGUUUUUACACCUGGCUGUAUUCAAUUCACUCUCUCCUCCUUACUUCUUUUCUAUUACAUCUCACUUGUUUCUCAUCAUUAGUUGUAUACUUCAUAGACAGUGUCUCCUUGUCUCUGGCUUCAAGUUCCUCUGUAGUUAGGUCCCUGUUCAGGUGCCACCUCUCAUGACCCCUGCAAGCUUGCCCUAAAAACCUAACUGGGGGCAAUGGGAGAUUAAGAAUGGACAAAAGACAGAAGACAAAACAUGCACAAAGCUGGUGCCAGGUGGACUGGACGCUCAGAUGGAGACACACAGCAGUCUCGUCUACCUCCAGCGAGUUUAUUAUAUACAGUGGAAAAACAAGGAGUUGGGGGCAACAGUUCUUGGGGGGAGGGGUGUGACAUUGUAGUUCUCGGGAACAGGAGAAACCUGAGACUGCUUCAUUCUGAAAGUAAACAUCUUAGGAAGAACAGCUCUGCUGCAUUUUGCCCUCACCCUCUUCUGUGGCUGGGGCCAUGCUAAACAGCCUGCAGAUUUUUGGGCAUAACUAUGCUCACUCCCUUCUGCAGCUGGGGCUGUGCCAAACUCAACCUGAAGAUUAUUGGGCACAACUCCACUCUCUCCCAUCUAUGGCUGGGGCCGUGCCAAACUCAGCCUGCAGAUUAUUUGACACAGCUGUGCUUAUGUCAAGUUCUCACAGGCUUCUCAUACUCUGCUUUCCACAGAGCAGGACUGCCUGAGCUCUCUGGAGCUCAGUUCACAGCACCAGGUGUCCCUGAUGCCGGACCUGAAGUAUAGGGUUUAUUGUUUAGUAUGCUUGGUUUUGGUUUUGCUUUGGUCUGAUUUCACCUUACUUUCUCCAUUUCCUCCCUUUUGGAAUGAAAAUGUUUACCCUUGAUGCAUUAUACCUUGAAAUAUGUAAAUUUCUUUUGAUUUUCUGGGGUUUCACUGAUAAGAAUUUGCUUUGAGUCUCAGAGGGAAAUGGACUUUUGAGGAACUAUGGAACUGUUAAGACUAUGGGAACUCUUGCAGAUGAACUGAAUGCAUUUUACGUUGUGAGAUGGACCUGAACCUUUGAAGUCAGGAAUUCAAUGUUAAUGGGUGAAUGGUAAAUGCUCCCAAAUAUUCAUGCAUUGAAGGCUUGGCCCUCCAUAAAGCAGAGUCAAAGGUGGGGCUUUUGUUACAUGAUUGGGACAUCAGGGCCCUGACCUUACAAAAGGAUUAAUCCACUUUUUGAUCCAGAGCAUAAGGGGUUUGAGCGAAGGGCCUUGUUAUAACACUCAACUAUCUCUUUGGUUCUUGGGUGCACAUGAGAAGUUUAUUCUACCUCAUUGUCCUUGGCAAGAUAUUCUACCUCAGUGGGAGACCCUAGCCUGUUGCAGAGGUGGGUGCAUCUGUAGUACCUGAAAUAACAGGGAAAGAUGUUUCUGAGGAUGCUGGGUUUCUGGCCUUCUCUCUCUUGCCACCCAUCCUCCUCUGACCCCCAAGACCUCUGGCUCCCUCAUCAGUACCCCUCAGAAUCUCAGACUGGCUUUUAAAAGGAGAGAUGUCACCAUGGAAAAAGCAAACUCCUUGUAUGCCAUUUGUCUCUGAUGAGUGUCCUCUGAAGAUUUUGUCAAUUAACCCUUAUAUAUUAAUGAAAGUCCUUCAUUGUAGGAAUAGCUUUUUCCAGAUGUUUUUCAUGUCAGAGUGGAAGCAUUGGGCAGGUCAGGUGGAAAUCAGUGCCAAUUAAGACUCAUUUGGCCAAAUUAUAAACAAGAAAAGAAGUUUAGAAGAAGUGGGCUUACCUGGCAUCCAUUUUUAGUUUUGUCUUCACUAUAGAUGAUAUCUUGACAUCUUAGAAAUAAUGCAGAAGUCCAACAGGCAACAGUUAAGAGUUUUACAAGGAUAAUACAAAAAGCAAAAAAAAAAAAAAAAAAA